rnacentral:rRNA from 1 species
GAACGAACGCUGGCGGCGUGGCUAAGACAUGCAAGUCGAACGGGCUAUCUGUUUGAGCAAUCGAGUGGAUAGUCAGUGGCGAAAGGGUGCGUAAUGGGUAGGUAACGUACCCCGUACUCCGGAAUAGCGUCGUUGCCGCAAGGCAACUACCGAAAGGGGCGGUAAUACCGGAUGAUAUCAGCGGCCCCAAGGCUGCUGAUCAAAGAUUUAUCGGUGCGGGAGCGGCCUAUCUCCUAUCAGCUUGUUGGUGAGGUAACGGCUCACCAAGGCGACGACGGGUAGCGGGACUGAGAGGUUGACCCGCCACAUCGGGACUGAGACACUGCCCGGACCUCCACGGAGGGCUGUAGUAACGAAUAUUGGGCAAUGGGGGAAACCCUGACCCAGCAACGCCGCGUGAGGGAAGAAGGUUUUCGGAUUGUAAACCUCUGUUCUUGGGGAAGAGCAGAAGACGGUACCCAAGGAGGAAGCCCCGGCUAACUACGUGCCAGCAGCCGCGGUAAUACGUAGGGGGCGAGCGUUGUCCGGAAUGAUUGGGCGUAAAGGGCGCGUAGGCGGCUGUGUAAGNCNGUAGUGGAAGUCCAGCUUUUAAGGUUGGAAGUGCUAUUGAAACUGUGCAGCUUNNNNGCAGGAGAGGUUAUCGGAAUUCCCGGNGUAGCGGUGAAAUGCGUAGAGAUCGGGAGGAACACCAGUGGCGAAGGCGGGUAACUGGACUGCAACUGACNNNNAGGCGCGAAAGUGUGGGGAGCAAACAGGAUUAGAUNCCCUGGUAGUCCACACUGUAAACGAUGAAUGCUAGGUGUAGGGGGUAUCGACCCCUUNUGUGCCGGAGUAAACACAAUAAGCAUUCCGCCUGGGGAGUACGGUCGCAAGAUUAAAGCUCAAAGGAAUUGACGGGGGCCCGCACAAGCAGCGGAGCAUGUGGUUUAAUUCGAAGCAACGCGAAGAACCUUACCAGGUCUUGACAUCCAGGUAAAGCUGCAGAGAUGCAGUGUGUGCUUGCACAAUCUGAGACAGGUGGUGCAUGGUUGUCGUCAGCUCGUGUCGUGAGAUGUUGGGUUAAGUCCCGCAACGAGCGCAACCCUUGCCGGCAGUUACUAACAGGUGAAGCUGAGGACUCUGCUGGGACCGCCGGGGACAACUCGGAGGAAGGUGGGGACGACGUCAAAUCAUCAUGCCCCUUAUGACCUGGGCUACACACGUGCUACAAUGGCCGAGACAGAGAGCGGCGAGGGCGCAAGCCGGAGCGAAUCUCAAAAAAGCGGUCACAGUUCGGAUUGUGGGCUGCAACCCGCCCACAUGAAGCAGGAGUUGCUAGUAAUCGCGAAUCAGCAUGUCGCGGUGAAUACGUUCCCGGGCCU